ACCAUUAUAGUUUAAAGAAAACAUUGAAUUGCAAAUUCAAUAAUGUAGCGGUCUACUGGUGGCU
rnacentral:tRNA from 1 species